rnacentral:lncRNA from 1 species
AUGGCUUUGAUAAGAAACUAUCGGAGAUAAUGAGUAUAAAUUCGAGUAUGAAUCAUGAAUUGGGUUUAAAUCAGGGACAAAGGAAGGUCAAUAACAAAAUCCUAGUGGAUUCAAUUAUUACUGUUUUAGAUUGCUUGUGGGUUGUUCACGGUUCUAUACUACGACCAUUACGGUAUCAUUUUCCUUGGUUUAUAUUAGUGAAGAUAUCACAGAUUGGUGGAAAUUUUGGUAAAGGUGGUUAUGAAGGAGGAAGGAAGAUGGGUAGGA